GGAGGGUAUAGCUCAGUGGUAGAGUGCGUGCUUAGCAUGCACGAGGUCCUGGGUUCAAUCCCCAGUACCUCCC
rnacentral:tRNA from 1 species